GCUUACGGCCAUACCACCCUGAACACGCCCGAUCUCGUCUGAUCUCGGAAGCUAAGCAGGGUCGGGCCUGGUCAGUACUUGGAUGGGAGACCGCCUGGGAAUACCAGGUGCUGGAAGCU
rnacentral:rRNA from 1 species